GCGAAGCGGCGAUGACCUUCUAAAUUGGGAAACGAAUCCCUGGCGAACUCUGCGUCCAGUAGCUCCAACUGCACCUUGUCGUAAAAGUGGCGCUGACGACCUGAUCGGGAAGAUUUUGCGGUGGAAUCAACUGGAUAACAAUCUGAAGAACUCCGGCCGCCUUCAGAUCUGCGAGCAUCUUGACGACGUGUUCGGGCAUGGGUGGAGGAGUGGGGAGGUGGUCGCCGGUGGCCUGGAAUCCAUUUUCAUCGGCCACCCAAUUGACGGUGAGGACGACGCCGUCGGGAGUCGUGAACGAGUAGGAGCCCUUGGACACGGUCCCGAUAUCCUCCGGUUUGGCACCAACUUGUUUCUGGCUGCCACUUUCAGACACUUUGGUCCCAUCGGCAGACUCGAAAC